rnacentral:rRNA from 1 species
GACGGACGCUGGCGGCGUGCUUAACACAUGCAAGUCGAACGGAAAGGCCCUGCUUGCAGGGUACUCGAGUGGCGAACGGGUGAGUAACACGUGGGUGAUCUGCCCUGCACUUCGGGAUAAGCCUGGGAAACUGGGUCUAAUACCGGAUAGGACCAUCGUUUAGUGUCGGUGGUGGAAAGUUUUUCGGUGCAGGAUGAGCUCGCGGCCUAUCAGCUUGUUGGUGGGGUAAUGGCCUACCAAGGCGUGGACGGGUAGCCGGCCUGAGAUGGUGGACGGCCACGUUGGGACUGGGACACGGGCCAGACUCCUACGGGAGGCAGCAGUGGGGAAUAUUGCACAAUGGGCGCAAGCCUGAUGCAGCGACGCCGCGUGGGGGAUGAAGGCCUUCGGGUUGUAAACUCCUUUCAACCAUGACGAAGCUUUUUGUGACGGUAGUGGUAGAAGAAGCACCGGCUAACUACGUGCCAGCAGCCGCGGUAA